AGAUGCACGACACCUACGACUUCGCCUUCAACCAUACCCGCUAUACCAUAAUGAUGGGCGUGAGGCACGAACUCAGGAACAUAGCUCAGGCAAACGAUAUGGUGUAUGAUGUCGUCAUGGAUAUAUCCCUCCUCACUAAAGAGAUAUACAUGCGUGCGCAUCGAAGGGGGGGGAUACCCGACCAAGGACGUACCGAAAACCAGACAUGCCAAAAUUCAGUUCUUUUAGAGAGAAUUUGGAAUCGGUGCGGAAUGCGGAGCGACUGACGAAGGUUGAGUUUGAUCAUGCUCAGAAUAUGGUCGACGAGUGCCAGAAGCAAGACUCCUACGUGUUACAGCUGAAGGAGAUCCUGUCUGAAAACAUCAACGAACGCGAGCUUUCCGACUUAGUCCGCCAUGUCAACAUGACAGUCUGGAAGCUUCAGGCCGAGUUCGAUACCGCCAUGGUUGCAAGGAAGAUGAGCAGGUUCUCGCUGACGAAUGGAGGGACGGCUAGAGACGACGUCAUAACGGCGUCCAACUUGGUCAGGAAGGCAAAGGAGGUGUUGAGAGAUGCGGCCGCCACCUCCAGGGGUAACUUGAUUGCUGCUGGAGACCUAAGAAGACAGAAGGGCGGAGGAUUGAAUCCUUUAGCUCCCGUGUCCUUCACCGACAGGAGACCACACGGAAGGUCAAAGUCAAGGUCAAGGUCAAGGCCGAGAAGGUCUACAUACAUCACUGCCGCAGAAAGGGAUCGACUCCGACCAAUCAUUGACCGAGCUGUUAACCAUGCCAAUGAAUUGGAACAGCUCGCCAGGAUAAUCGCCAGGUUGAUGAACCCCUUGAUAAGACAGGCCACGAAUGUUGUCAGAGGAGACAGAGGUGGGGGAGUGUCAUACCGUCUGCAGGCGACCUUACUCGCCGAUAGACUCCUCGCACAUGUACAGCAAAUCCACACUGUGUUAGACCGUAUACGAUUAGCGAUUAAUGACGAAGGCGAGCUACGUCGACGCUGCGAGGAGCUUGAGACGGGUUCCGGCGAUGACGGUGACACCACCCCCAUCGACUGCGACGAAUACAUAGACGUGGGUAGUGCACGCGGAACAGAUACCUCGUCACAGGACCCGGAUGGAGAUGGUUCAGAUUUUAUUUUUGACGAAGACCAAAAUCCCAAAAGAAUUCCGGCCAACUCGUUAAAGAACUUUGGGGAUAAAUUGCGGAUUCACGUGGUUCAGCUGGGACAAAAAGGGGACAUAACUCUCGUCAAAUCACAAACGGCAAGAAACAAAUCAAGAGCCUUUUCUACAAGGUGGAACGCUGCUAAGGUCAACCUGCAAUCCUCAAGGAGAUUUGUGGACGAAGCCAAGCAGUUUCUGAAUGAAUGGCGCACAGAAAGGCCCAAUAUUGACCGUAUCUCCGACCGGAUUAAGGAUGUCCACGAGAGAGUGGACCUGGUCUAUAAUAUCACCCAGAGCAAGACCUUCCAGGCGGUGCUGAAGGCGGAGCGCAAAGUGAAAGAGGUCAAAGGCGGCGGUGGGACAGGUGGCACCACCAAUGGGGGAAGCGGAGGAAGUGGUGGAAGUGAAAGCCAAGAUUAUGCUGCAGCCUUAGAAGCCAAGGGUAAAGCGCAGGCUAAAAUGCGAUCCAUACUGACCUUGACCCGACUGGCUCCGUCAAUGGUGACGGGAGUGAACGUGACUGUUGGCCAGAUACAAGCCAACAUCUCCAGUCUCAGGAGCAAGGUGGAGAAGGCGCGGAUGAUGCUCGCCUCUAUACAGAUGAGCAUUAACAAACAAGAUGAGGGUUAUCUCCCCCUGCCUCUUGCCGCUUCUGACGAGUCUCUAACCCUGCGCACGUCUGUCGAAGUUUGUAUCAGACCGGAAGUAGCAGACGGACAAAUCCUGUUGGUGUCUGGGAACAAUUCGGAGUCCUACAGCCUUAGUAUGUCGAGCAACACCUUGACGAUGACCGUCUACGACAAGGGCGGCUAUGAGACCGGGGACGUUGAAAGCAAGAUUUCCCUCGAGAAGGACAAGUGGUAUAACGUGCUCAUACAGAGGAAUGGUCAGAAAGUGGCACUGAUGGUUCGGCCAGAAGGAAGUGACGACGCCGACGUUGUGGAAGACACUGUGGAAAUGCCGUACGGACAACCCCCGCCUCUAGCCGCCUACGUUGGAGGUGCACCCGACACAGUGCCCAUGUACCUCAACGGUGACGUGUGGAAGGGCUGUGUGGGCGGACUGAGGGUGAACGGUCGGUCGGUGGGCCUGCUACAGAAGACCAGCGACGGCAAAGUACCGGCUCCAUGCACGUCAAGCUGCUCCCCGUCGCUGCAGCCUCCCUCCAUGGUGUUUGAGGGGAACGGAUACGCCCACUACCCGGUCCACACAGCGCAGUUGAGACAUCGGACCAGAUCCGUCUAUUUUGAGUUCAGAACGAGACAGAAGAACGCUUUCCUUAUGACCGUCGUUAAGAGAGGCUUCCAGCUACGUGCACAGCUACAAGACGGAACGUUGUACAUUGAGACUACGACUCCAUCAGAAGCAGUGGUUCUUAUAGAAGAAAACAGCAAAUAUAAUGAUGGGAUGUUCCACACGCUAAAGAUCGGAUACAGGGACAGUAAGACGUAUCCAGAGAUCGAUGGCAAAGAAGGACUUUUCUCCAUAGAGCGGACGCGCCCCGAGAGGAUACAGACCCCCACCCAGGGCAUCCUCAUUGGGGGGAUGCUGCCAGAACACCGAGGGAGAAUGGGGGACAAGUUCAGGCCGCUGAUUGGCUGCGUGCGAAAGCUUCAGAUCAAUGACGUCACUAUGACAAUGUCAGAUGUUGAACGUGCAGAGGGUGUUUAUAUCGGCAGCUGCACCAGUAACAAGCCCCUGCUCACCUGUGUGCAGUUCGUCAAUACCAGCUCGCCGAUCGCCUACGGGACGACGGAGGAUGCUGCAGCCGUCGUCAUCGUCGCAACCCGUGCAAGUCUAGGGCCAAUAUUACAGUACCAGAAGGGAGAUACUUUCAAUGCCAUUAUUUCCAUGGAAGAAAAUGGAAUCGUCAUUGCCGAGUCCGUGAAAUCCUACGACGGUCGCCUUGACUAUGCAAAGGAUGAUAACAGCAUGUUUGUUGUAAUCAAAGUAACAGAUAAGGACAGCACCCUGAAAGUGGAGUACCAGGGCAAAGAGGCGUCCAUUAGCUACGGGGGUGGGUGGGCUCUCUUCGGUGGGGGUGACUCAAAAACUCCAUACACCGUCACCAUCGGCGGUCAGGACGAGGACAACAAUAUGCCCCCAUUUUCUGGUGGCAUUUCACAGAUGAUCGUCGGGGAACAAUAUUUGGACAUGACGAAAUAUGUCACAGACAAUGGCUUGUCAUCAUGCCCUGGUGCCCGCAUAUCGGACUCUGUCUCUGUCGACGUGAGGCGACGUUAGGGUAGACCCCUUCUCCUCGAACACAUUAUGUACAUAGUUGUAAUUUAUCAGCUGCCAAGUUGUCUCAACCGAGGGCAUUUCCAAGCCGUUAACCUAAGCACAAGAUGAGAUUAACACACACAUAUAUAUGGACAUAUAAUAUUUUCAUUUCUGAUGAUUAGUUCGCCAGCUUCCAUAAUAUAAUUUCUUAAAAAUAUCAAAAUAUAAAAUUUAUCAGGGAACUUCGUUGUUAGAAUAUGUGUGAUCUGUUGAACUGUUACAGUGUACAUUCUUGGUAAGAACCUGCGAGAAGUUCUAAAAAUCCAUAAUUGUCCAUUGUAUUGUCCCACCAUUUUAUAGAACGGGGUGCUGUUGUACAAAACCACCUUAGUGCUUUGACUACCUUAGGCUAUGCUAAAGUAUGGGAGUUAAGGUCACCUUAGUGCUUUGACUACCUUAGGCUAUGCUAAAGUAUGGGAGUUAAGGCCACCUAAGAUGGCCUUGUACAGCGGCACCCUGGCCAAUAUUUUUAAGCACAAACCUCGAUUUUCAUGAAUAUUGAACAUCAAAUUAGUAGUUGAAGUUGUAACUGACCAUGGAAGGCUCCCUACAGAGAUAUGAUAUAUACCUUCCCACGUUUUCCAGGUUGUAAAUGUAAGUGACUUACAGUUGGCUUCGAUAAUACAUUCAUGUUGCUAACAUGGUGAUAAAACAACACUGUGGAAACGUGUUCAGUACAUGAUAUGCCUUCGUGCCCUGGUGUCGUUUGUGGUACGACAUGCCAAUGAUAUCACAGCACUUGUCAGCGCACUAUGAAGCUCAAACAGCCACUUACCUGGUGAACAUGUGCAACGUUCGAAAGUAACGUUGGUCCUUAGGCCCGAAGCUGCCUGAAUACCACUCGGACCCACAGCUUUAGUUUUCUGUAGGUCCUUUUUUGCCGACAACUUUUUCAUUCCCAAUAACUAUAACAGUAUUAUUUUUCAGAAAAUAUCAUUCAGUAAUUUCUGGUUUUUAUCUCGAUCACCAGCUGUUGUCUGUAAGUGAAAUGACUAUCAUUUUCGAAGAAGCAAUUUAGCAAAUGUUGUCUCCUAUUUUUGCUAAAAUAUCGGGCCUUCACAUUCUGAUCAGGACCCAUAACGUUUUAUUGUUCUGGGUCCUUAGGACCUGCAGCUUUUCAGGGUUAAGGGGAAACACUGUAGCAUGUGUUGCAACUCUCCACACAUUUCACAUCAUGAUUAAGUGCUGUGAGAUAGAAUAUUGGUCACGUUGUGUGCAUGUCUUGUUUUACACAACCGACACAGGUGAUAGGUUAGCCUUGUGACGCAAGUGCUCGCUCGUCACGCCAACUCCCGGGUUCGAUUCCCAACAUGUGUACAAUGUGUGAACCCAUUUCCGGUGUCCCCCGCCGUGAUGUUGCUGGGUAUUGCUGAAAUAUUUGCGUAAAAACAUACUCACCAUUUUGAUUGUUUUUGUGAAGUCAUUCAUGCCCUCACCCGUUUCUGUUAAUUUACAUUUUCAUAUACCAACGUCAUAACAUGUUUUAUAAUUUGUCAUUCGAAUUUACAUUGAGUGGUUAAAUCGAAUUUGAAAAAAAAAACACACAAAACAACAACAACGAAAAUCCGGUAACAACGUCAUGUCAGUUGAUAACGACUAAGUUUGUCUCUAAAACUGUGCUAGAGGAUAAUUCUACUAUUCUUUUUCAAAAUUUAUCAUGAUUACGUCAUGAUAUAUUUCAAAAUAAUUAAAAUGAAACUCAUACAAGGAUAACUGUUUCAUUAAUUUGAUUUUAAGUUCCAGAUGCGAAAUGAUGACUUUAAUGUUUGAAGUACAUCAUGUAAAUUAGUGAAAGGGAUUCUAUGAACAAUGAACAAAAUCGGAGAGAUAUUGUUAAUCAACAACUUUGGUUCUAUCUUGCAUGUCCAGUAUGAUAGAUUUUGUUACCAUAGAUACAGACAAUGAAACACAAAGGAAGACGCGUGGUUAGUGUAUAUAGUUUAUGCACCUGGCUUGCAAUAAGAUGACGCAUAAUAUUUAUGCUUAGCUUUUAAAGUAAACAUGUCUAAGCCUGAAUUGGAAUGUUAAUUCAAAAAUAAACCUCACACAAGGAUGAAACCAAUAUCAAAUGUCAGAUUUGCCUUGAUAUAAAUCCUAAAAUUCAGCACGCUCUUUUCCUUAGGCUGUGUAAACAGUAACGUUGCACAAAUCAACAUCCUUAUGCAAAACAUUCCCUUUGUGCAUUCCCGAAGCCAUGUCCCAGAUAAAGACCUCACCAGUCAUAUUCAUCACAGUCAUGACCAAGUUUAGCUGCUGGGAUCAGAACUUCACGCCUUUGGGUCAAUAUUACUGUGGUAGAACGUCAAACGUCAGGGUCGUGUUGACUGAGAUAGAACGUCAAAGCUCGGGGUCGUGCUGACUGAUGUAGAACGUCAAACGUCGGGGUCGUGCUGACUGAGGUGUCGGGGUCGUGUUGACUGAUUUAUGCUGUUCGAGUAGCCGUCCUUAUAAUUUCAUUUCUGUAUCCCCAUUUAUGUUGGAUACAGCUAAUUACUAAGUCUUGAAUCCGUUACUAAUUUACCUGCAAUAGUGCUGCAAAACAAGGACCAAUGUGAUCGUUAAUGAUAAAAUGUCUCAUAUGACAAGCAGUCAAAUCCUCUGCAUCUACUCACUUUACCCAUAGUGCUGUUUGCUUCUAUUGUACACAAUAUUUGCUUAUUUUACCAAUUUACUGUGCUUUUUUUAUUCUGCUUAGAUUUGAUUGACAAUUUGAUGUAAAUAUUUAUUUCCCAGGAGCCGAAUGUGUGACCAUUUGUGGUGUAUAAAUUGUGCUGAAAGUGCAAAUACGUUUCCUAUUUUUGACAAAUAAAUAUUUUCUUACUUUAUCGGAAA
rnacentral:misc_RNA from 1 species